UUGAAAAAGAAAGUAUACUAUGUGGUUAUCUCAUGAUAACCUCAUGAGCCUGGCCUGACAUCUCAGCUGUCCUUUGACCCCUGCAGCCAUUGCAACAGAAACCACCUGGCUGCCCGCAGGUGAGAACUGGCAGCCCCCUGCUGCAGCUCCUUCCGGCGCUUCUCCUUUUCUGCCCUGAAAAUGUCUCCUUGGCACUCAGGACUGCCUGCCUAGUGACCCACCACUUGCCAUCUGGCGGAAGAUUCUGGCUGCGGAGCGAUGAAGAUGAUGGGCUGCAGACUCAUGUAUUGGGAACUCCAUCUUCGACCAAUGAUCAAUGUAAUUGAGUUCCUUUUUUGAAGUGAAUAAGCAGACACACUCAUCAAAGAACAAGAGAUGACACAGACACAGGAGAAGCCCGUGUGAAGACAGAGGUGGAGACUGGAGUGAUGUGUUUACGAACCAAAGACUGCCCGAGGAUUGCUGGCAGCCCCAGAAGCAAAGAGAAAGGCGUGGGACAGAUUCUCUCCUAGACGCUUCUGAGGGAGCAUCACCCUGCCUGGCUCCUUGGACUGCAGACUUCUGGCCUGCAGAACUGUGAAAGAAUUCACUUCUGUUGUUUGAAGCCCCCCAGUGCUUGUUGCAGUCGUGCAUGUUGUAGCAGCCCUAGGAAACAAAUAUAGUUGGGUUUCCUCCAAUCAGGUUGGUGUGGGAGUGAGUCGUUAAGGAAAUGCUCCCCUGAGACCAUUAACGGAGGGGUGAGGAGAGCAGACCCGGGAGAGGACGCAGAGCGCUUGGCUCAGUUCCACAGGCAGUGAUGUCACCUGGCCCCUGGGGGACUCUGGGUUGUAAACGAUGCCCACGGGUGAGCUCACCCUAGACAAGGGGGCCAGAGUUCCUGUACCAGCACCCUACCAGUCACAGGUUACAGACCACCCCCAAGGGACUUCACCUGCAGGCAAGUGGGAUCCAGGAACUACAAGGGAGUUCUCCAUAAAAGCCCAGCCCAUGUUGCUUGUUGAAAUCAAAAGCACCCCCAAAGAGGGGAAGAAAAAAAAUGGUAAACAGGAAUUCCAAGGGAUCCAGGAAGAGCAACAGCAUCAUCCAACCUGUCGAAUUAUCUGCCCGUGGUAUCUGGAGUCCAGGAGGCCGGGUGCUGAUGUCUGCUCCUGCUAUCCACUUGGGUAACUUUGGGGCAUACAUUUGCAUCUUGGAUCUUAGUCGACGUCACUGUUAAAGGGAGAUAAUGUUAAUGCUUUUACAUUUGUUUUUUCAUAAAAUGUUUGCUCUUUGGGGUUGAUAUUCAGAUGGUAUAACUAUAUAUUGUUUGCUAAAACAUAAAUGGUUCUGUAUUGGGGGAUAAAUAGCCACUCCCCUUACUACUUUGGUCCCCUCCCUCAAACCCCUUGCAUUUCCCUACAACCCAGCAAUGAAAAUGCUGGGCACAGCUGGGCAUCUCCCUAACAUUAGGGCCCGUGUUGUUUCCAAUUAGUUGGCUGUUAAAGAUUUUGACUGUCAUCCCCAGAUCAAGCAUGUGCUAUGUGUCUAAUCCAGUGAUCACAACUGUGAGGGACAGAAAAGAAUUAGACCAUCUCUGCCUUCAAAAAGUUUAAACUUGGGGUGCCUGCCUGGCU